ACUGGAUCCAUGUGCCAGGAAAUUCCGUUUAGAUGUGAGUAAAGUCAAGGAAUGCAAAAGUUCGCGUUCGACCUUCGAUAUCUUGGAGCCCUACGGCAGGGAAACUCUUAAACUGAACAUCUCCCAUGUGCCCACCAUUGUGUUUGAGAAUAACUUUGAUCCCAAUGAACAGCAUAGCUUGCGCACCUUCUUUCGGUCUAACUAUUGCGUAAAAUAUAAUAAGAAGUUUAACAUUAUUCUGCAGGACUGUUCCGAAAUUCUGUCGUAUUGUAAGUUAUAUAAAAAUUGCGCUUUGUAAAAUGAACCAAGAGCAAUAAAUAAGAAUUACACUU